ACGUUAAUCGGGGCAGGGUGAGUCGACCCCUAAGGCGAGGCCGAAAGGCGUAGUCGAUGGGAAACAGGUUAAUAUUCCUGUACUUGGUGUUACUGCGAAGGGGGGACGGAGAAGGCUAUGUUAGCCGGGCGACGGUUGUCCCGGUUUAAGCAUGUAGGCUGAUUGUCCAGGCAAAUCCGGAUAAUCAAGGCUGAGGUGUGAUGACGAGGCACUACGGUGCUGAAGUAACAAAUGCCCUGCUUCCAGGAAAAGCCUCUAAGCAUCAGGUAACAUUAAAUCGUACCCCAAACCGACACAGGUGGUCAGGUAGAGAAUACCAAGGCGCUUGAGAGAACUCGGGUGAAGGAACUAGGCAAAAUGGUGCCGUAACUUCGGGAGAAGGCACGCUGGUGUGUAGGUGAAGUCCCUGCGGAUGGAGCUGAGACCAGUCGAAGAUACCAGCUGGCUGCAACUGUUUAUUAAAAACACAGCACUGUGCAAACACGAAAGUGGACGUAUACGGUGUGACGCCUGCCCGGUGCCGGAAGGUUAAUUGAUGGGGUUAUCCGUAAGGAGAAGCUCUUGAUCGAAGCCCCGGUAAACGGCGGCCGUAACUAUAACGGUCCUAAGGUAGCGAAAUUCCUUGUCGGGUAAGUUCCGACCUGCACGAAUGGCGUAAUGAUGGCCAGGCUGUCUCCACCCGAGACUCAGUGAAAUUGAACUCGCUGUGAAGAUGCAGUGUACCCGCGGCAAGACGGAAAGACCCCGUGAACCUUUACUAUAGCUUGACACUGAACAUUGAGCCUUGAUGUGUAGGAUAGGUGGGAGGCUUUGAAGCGUGGACGCCAGUCUGCGUGGAGCCAACCUUGAAAUACCACCCUUUAAUGUUUGAUGUUCUAACGUUGGCCCCUUACCGGGGUUGCGGACAGUGUCUGGUGGGUAGUUUGACUGGGGCGGUCUCCUCCCAAAGCGUAACGGAGGAGCACGAAGGUUAGCUAAUCCUGGUCGGACAUCAGGAGGUUAGUGCAAUGGCAUAAGCUAGCUUGACUGCGAGCGUGACGGCGCGAGCAGGUGCGAAAGCAGGUCAUAGUGAUCCGGUGGUUCUGAAUGGAAGGGCCAUCGCUCAACGGAUAAAAGGUACUCCGGGGAUAACAGGCUGAUACCGCCCAAGAGUUCAUAUCGACGGCGGUGUUUGGCACCUCGAUGUCGGCUCAUCACAUCCUGGGGCUGAAGUAGGUCCCAAGGGUAUGGCUGUUCGCCAUUUAAAGUGGUACGCGAGCUGGGUUUAGAACGUCGUGAGACAGUUCGGUCCCUAUCUGCCGUGGGCGCUGGAGAAUUGAGGGGGGCUGCUCCUAGUACGAGAGGACCGGAGUGGACGCAUCACUGGUGUUCGGGUUGUCAUGCCAAUGGCACUGCCCGGUAGCUAAAUGCGGAAGAGAUAAGUGCUGAAAGCAUCUAAGCACGAAACUUGCCCCGAGAUGAGUUCUCCCUGAGACUUUAAGUCUCCUGAAGGAACGUUGAAGACGACGACGUUGAUAGGCCGGGUGUGUAAGCGCAGCGAUGCGUUGAGCUAACCGGUACUAAUGAACCGUGAGGCUUAACCUU
rnacentral:rRNA from 1 species